GUAACAGGGGUAGCUUGCUACCCGCUGACGAGCGGCGGACGGGUGAGUAAUGCAUGGGAAUCUGCCCGGUAGUGGGGGAUAACUCGGGGAAACCCGAGCUAAUACCGCAUACGUCCUACGGGAGAAAGCAGGGGAUCUUCGGACCUUGCGCUAUCGGAUGAGCCCAUGUCGGAUUAGCUUGUUGGUGAGGUAAUGGCUCACCAAGGCCGCGAUCCGUAGCUGGUCUGAGAGGAUGAUCAGCCACACCGGGACUGAGACACGGCCCGGACUCCUACGGGAGGCAGCAGUGGGGAAUAUUGGACAAUGGGGGAAACCCUGAUCCAGCCAUGCCGCGUGUGUGAAGAAGGCCCUCGGGUUGUAAAGCACUUUCAGUGGGGAAGAAGGCAUGGCGGCUAAUACCCGCCAUGAAGGACAUCACCCACAGAAGAAGCACCGGCUAACUCCGUGCCAGCAGCCGCGGUAAUACGGAGGGUGCAAGCGUUAAUCGGAAUUACUGGGCGUAAAGGGCGCGUAGGCGGCUUGCCAAGCCGGAUGUGAAAGCCCCGGGCUCAACCCGGGAACGGCAUUCGGAACUGGCAGGCUAGAGUGCAGGAGAGGAAGGUGGAAUUCCCGGUGUAGCGGUGAAAUGCGUAGAGAUCGGGAGGAAUACCAGUGGCGAAGGCGGCCUUCUGGACUGACACUGACGCUGAGGCGCGAAAGCGUGGGUAGCAAACAGGAUUAGAUACCCUGGUAGUCCACGCCGUAAACGAUGUCGACCAGCCGUUGGACCCCUUGAGGGUUUGGUGGCGCAGUUAACGCAAUAAGUCGACCGCCUGGGGAGUACGGCCGCAAGGCUAAAACUCAAAUGAAUUGACGGGGGCCCGCACAAGCGGUGGAGCAUGUGGUUUAAUUCGAUGCAACGCGAAGAACCUUACCUGCUCUUGACAUCCUGCGAAUCUCCCAGAGAUGGGAGAGUGCCUUCGGGAACGCAGAGACAGGUGCUGCAUGGCUGUCGUCAGCUCGUGUUGUGAAAUGUUGGGUUAAGUCCCGUAACGAGCGCAACCCCUAUCCCUUUUUGCCAGCGGUCCGGCCGGGAACUUCAGGGAGACUGCCGGUGACAAACCGGAGGAAGGUGGGGACGACGUCAGUCAUCAUGGCCCUUACGAGCAGGGCU
rnacentral:rRNA from 1 species